rnacentral:rRNA from 1 species
AGAACGAACGUUGGCGGCGUGGAUUAGGCAUGCAAGUCGAAUGAAUCCCAUCUGGGUAACUGGGUGGGGGAAAUGGCGAAAGGGGCAGUAAGGCAUGGGCAACCUACCCCGGGGACGGGGAUAGCCUUUCUAACGAGAGGGUAAUACCUGGCGAUUCAGCGGGGAGGCAUCUUUCUGCUGGGAAACGAGUUUCGCCUCGGGAGGGGCUCAUGUAGUAUUAGCUAGUUGGUAAGGUAACGGCUUACCAAGGCGAAGAUGCUUAGCGGGUGUGAGAGCACGACCCGCGCCACUGGCACUGAGACACUGGCCAGACUCCUACGGGAGGCUGCAGUCGAGGAUCUUCGGCAAUGGGCGCAAGCCUGACCGAGCGACGCCGCGUGUGCGAAGAAGGCCUUCGGGUUGUAAGCACUGUCGAGGGGAAGAAGGCCGUAAGGCUUGAUCGACCCUGGAGGAAGCACGGGCUAAGUUCGUGCCAGCAGCCGCGGUAA